GAUGAACGCUGGCGGCGUGCCUAAUACAUGCGAGUCGAGCGAACGGACGAGAAGCUUGCUUCUCUGAUGUUAGCGGCGGACGGGUGAGUAACACGUGGAUAACCUACCUAUAAGACUGGGAUAACUUCGGGAAACCGGAGCUAAUACCGGAUAAUAUUUUGAACCGCAUGGUUCAAAAGUGAAAGACGGUCUUGCUGUCACUUAUAGAUGGAUCCGCGCUGCAUUAGCUAGUUGGUAAGGUAACGGCUUACCAAGGCAACGAUGCAUAGCCGACCUGAGAGGGUGAUCGGCCACACUGGAACUGAGACACGGUCCAGACUCCUACGGGAGGCAGCAGUAGGGAAUCUUCCGCAAUGGGCGAAAGCCUGACGGAGCAACGCCGCGUGAGUGAUGAAGGUCUUCGGAUCGUAAAACUCUGUUAUUAGGUAAGAACAUAUGUGUAAGUAACUGUGCACAUCUUGACGGUACCUAAUCAGAAAGCCACGGCUAACUACGUG
rnacentral:rRNA from 1 species